UGGGAACAGACACAGAUGGCCAGUCA
rnacentral:sRNA from 1 species